AGACCCCUACGGGGCGCAGCAGUGGGGGAUAUUGCACAAUGGGGGGAACCCUGAUGCAGCGACGCCGCGUGGGUGAAGGAGUGCUUCGGCAUGUAAAGCCCUAUCGGCAGGGAAGAAGCAAGACGGUACCUGACUAAGAAGCCCCGGCUAACUACGUGCCAGCAGCCGCGGUAAUACGUAGGGGGCAAGCGUUAUCCGGAUUUACUGGGUGUAAAGGGAGCGUAGACGGCGAUGCAAGUCUGAAGUGAAAGCCCGGGGCUCAACCCCGGGACUGCUUUGGAAACUGUAUGGCUGGAG
rnacentral:rRNA from 1 species